UUAAAUGCAGUCGAACGGCAGCACGGGAGCAAUCCUGGUGGCGAGUGGCGAACGGGUGAGUAACAUAUCGGAACGUGCCCAGUCGUGGGGGAUAACGUAGCGAAAGCUACGCUAAUACCGCAUACGAUCUAUGGAUGAAAGCGGGGGAUCGCAAGACCUCGCGCGAUUGGAGCGGCCGAUAUCAGAUUAGGUAGUUGGUGGGGUAAAAGCCUACCAAGCCUUCGAUCUGUAGCUGGUCUGAGAGGACGACCAGCCACACUGGAACUGAGACACGGUCCAGACUCCUACGGGAGGCAGCAGUGGGGAAUUUUGGACAAUGGGCGCAAGCCUGAUCCAGCAAUGCCGCGUGCAGGAUGAAGGCCUUCGGGUUGUAAACUGCUUUUGUACGGAACGAAACGGUCCUCUUUAAUAAAGGGGGCUAAUGUCGGUACCGUAAGAAUAAGCACCGGCUAACUACGUGCCAGCAGCCGCGGUAAUACGUAGGGUGCGAGCGUUAAUCGGAAUUACUGGGCGUAAAGCGUGCGCACGCGGUUAUGUAAGACAGAUGUGAAAUCCCCGGGCUCAACCUGGGACCUGCAUUUGUGACUGCAUAGCUAGAGUACGGUAGAGGGGAUGGAAUUCCGCGUGUAGCAGUGAAAUGCGUAGAUAUGCGGAGGAACACCGAUGGCGAACGCAAUCCCCUGGACCUGUACUGACGCUCAUGCACGAAAGCGUGGGGGAGCAAACAGAUUAGAUACCCUGUA
rnacentral:rRNA from 1 species